UUCAUUAAAACAAAUACAGAAACAUAACAACUUUCUUUUACCUCUAGGCUUGUGUUCAUCCAGGAGAUGAUCAAGUGUUAGGAAGACAAGCCUGAAAGAAGACUGUGCUGAAAAAAAAGUCACCCUCAUCCCUAGAGGCAGAGACUGGCAGAGUUGAUGCUCUAAGUUCUGAUGACUUCUGUCUUCUUCCUCCCUGCUCCCUGGUCUAUUUAGGCCUCCAAAGCAAGUUAACCAAGUU
rnacentral:lncRNA from 1 species